GACGAACGCUGGCGGCGUGCCUAAUACAUGCAAGUUGAGCGCUGAAGGUUGGUGCUUGUACCGACUGGAUGAGCGGCGGACGGGUGAGUAACGCGUGGGGAAUCUGCCUUUGAGCGGGGGACAACUUCGGGAAACGAAUGCUAAUACCGCAUAAAAACUUUAAACACAAGGUUCAAGUUUGAAAGAUGCUAUUGCAUUACUUUAUGAUGAGACCGCGUUGUAAUAGCCAAGUGGUGAAGUAAAGGCUCACCAAGGCGAAGAUACAGUACCGACCUGGGGGGGGGAUCCGCCCACAUGGGACUUAGACCAGGCCCAAACUCCCACGGGAGGCAGCAGUAAGGAAUUCUCGGCAAUGGACGAAAGUCUGAACGAGGAACGCCGCGGGAGUGAAGGAGGUUUUCCGAUCGUAAAAAUCUGUUGAUAAGGAAGGACGUUAGGGAGAAUUGAAAGCGCAUCAAGUGACGGUAACUACCCAGAAAGGGACGGCUAACUACGUG
rnacentral:rRNA from 1 species